rnacentral:tmRNA from 1 species
GGGGGUGACUGGCUUCGACAGAGAAAUCGGCGUGUGUUUGCGCGUUGCGGAAUUGAAUGAAUUCCUAAAAACAUUCAAAAACCCAAGUGCGAACAAAGUAGCACGGGCAGUUUUGUCGCCUAUACAGGCGGCAGACCUGCAGUUCGCUUACGCGUUAGCCUAAGCGACCGUCCACCAGCUUGAUGCUUGAUUAGAGUUGAGUGGGCGUCACAAAUUUCAAGCACUGACGAGCGCGGUCCCGCGCUCGUUUAAGACAUAGGACUAGGAUUCAUAUGAUUCUGUUCAUCUUAUACAUAUGCAUCCGAAAUCAGAAUUUAUUUUCUGACAAGAUGACCUACGCUUCGUAGACACAUUCACACAUCUUUCUUUGGACUCGGGUCCGAUACCCGACACCUCCACAA